AGUGAACGCUGUCGGUCGGCCAUACACAUGCAAGUCGAACGUCCGCACAGUAACAUCUUGCUCUUACGUGUGGCGAGUGGCUGACGGGUGGGGAAUACAGCGGAAUCUACUUUUUCGUGUGGGAUAACGUAGGGAAACUUACGCUAAUACCGCAUACGACCCACUGGUUAAAGCAGGGGAUCUGCUUACCUUGUGUGCUAGAAUGAGCCGAUGUCGGAUUAGCUAGUUGGCGGGGUAAAGGCCCACCAAGGCGACGAUCUGUAGCUGUUCUGAUAGGAUGAUCACCGUCGCUAGACCUGAGACAUCGUCAAGACCCCAUCGGGAGGGCGCGGCGGGGAACAUUGAAUAAUGGGCGCAAGACUGAUCCAGUAAUGCCGCGUGGGUGAAGAAGGCCUUCGGGUUGUGAAGCCCUUUUGUUGGGAAAGAACAGCAGCAGGUUAAUAACCCGCUGUUCUGACGGUAACCAAAGAAUAAGCACCGGCUACCUUCGUG
rnacentral:rRNA from 1 species